ACCAGGAAGGAAGUGGAGAGAGUAGGACAGGAAAGGGAAGAAGUCAAGUAAGAAAUUUCAGGUAUGCAAUUUUCCCCUGGAGGAGCAAGGUCACUUCCAGUUGAGAAUGACUAAGAUGCCAGUCAACAUUCAAGAACAUUCUGAUUUGAAGACUCCGUUUCAUCCAUGAAAUGCAUUGUAGGAAUGACAUAAUUGUGCAUUUUGAGGAUUAUGGAGAAGAAUCUAGUGGGAUCGUGCAUGGGACAGCCUUUGUAAAAUGUAAGAUAGCUACUGAAAUCCUAAGACUUUCAUAAAACCUGAGUCAGG